CUGCCCUCAAGCCCGGCUUGUGUGUUGGGCCUCGUCCCCCCUCUGCGGGGGACGGGCCCGAAAGGCAGCGGCGGCACCGUGUCCGGUCCUCGAGCGUAUGGGGCUUUGUCACCCGCUCUGUAGGCCCGGCCGGCGCCUUAGCCGACGACCCCCAAUCAAUCUAUCCA
rnacentral:misc_RNA from 1 species